rnacentral:rRNA from 1 species
AUUGAACGCUGGCGGCGUGCUUAACACAUGCAAGUCGAUCGGUAACGCGGGGGCAACCCUGGCGACGAGAGGCGGACGGGUGAGGAACGCUUGGGAAUCUGCCUAUCAGCGGGGGACAACACGGGGAAACUCGUGCUAAUACCGCAUACGCUCUACGGAGGAAAGCCGGGGACCGCAAGGCCUGGCACUGAUAGAUGAGCCCAAGCCGGAUUAGCUAGUUGGCGGGGUAACGGCCCACCAAGGCGACGAUCCGUAGCUGGUCUGAGAGGACGAUCAGCAACACUGGGACUGAGACACGGCCCAGACUCCUACGGGAGGCAGCAGUGGGGAAUAUUGGACAAUGGGGGAAACCCUGAUCCAGCGACGCCGCGUGGGUGAAGAAGGCCGGCGGGUUGUAAAGCCCUUUCGGUAGGGACGAAAGCUCUCGACCUAACACGUCGGGAGGUUGACUUAACCUACAAAAGAAGCACCGGCUAACUCUGUGCCAGCCGCCGCCGUAACAC